AUACGGAGGGUGCGAGCGUUACUCGGAGUCACUGGGCGUAAAGCGUCCGUAGGCGGUCGGGUAAGUCGGGUGUGAAAGCCCCGGGCUCAACCUGGGAAGUGCACCUGAUACUGCUCGACUCGAGUGCGGGAGAGGAUGGCGGAAUUCCCGGUGUAGCGGUGAAAUGCGUAGAGAUCGGGAGGAACACCAGUGGCGAAGGCGGCCAUCUGGCCCGCAACUGACGCUGAGGGACGAAAGCGUGGGGAGCAAACAGGAUUAGAAACCCCAGUAGUCC
rnacentral:rRNA from 1 species